rnacentral:rRNA from 1 species
GAUGAACGCUGGCGGCGUGCCUAAUACAUGCAAGUAGAACGCUGAAGGAAGGAGCUUGCUCUUUCCGGAUGAGUUGCGAACGGGUGAGUAACGCGUAGGUAACCUGCCUGGUAGCGGGGGAUAACUAUUGGAAACGAUAGCUAAUACUGCAUAACAGUAGAUGUUGCAUGAUAUCUACUUAAAAGGUGCAAUUGCACCACUACCAGAUGGACCUGCGUUGUAUUAGCUAGUUGGUGAGGUAACGGCUCACCAAGGCGACGAUACAUAGCCGACCUGAGAGGGUGAUCGGCCACACUGGGACUGAGACACGGCCCAGACUCCUACGGGAGGCAGCAGUAGGGAAUCUUCGGCAAUGGACGGAAGUCUGACCGAGCAACGCCGCGUGAGUGAAGAAGGUUUUCGGAUCGUAAAGCUCUGUUGUAAGAGAAGAACGAGUGUGAGAGUGGAAAGUUCACACUGUGACGGUAUCUUACCUGAAAGGGACGGCUAACUACGUG